rnacentral:rRNA from 1 species
GAUGAACGCUGGCGGCGUGCUUAACACAUGCAAGUCGAACGGAAAGGCCAGUGCUUGCACUGGUACUCGAGUGGCGAACGGGUGAGUAACACGUGGGUGAUCUGCCCUGCACUUCGGGAUAAGCCUGGGAAACUGGGUCUAAUACCGGAUAGGACAAUGGUUUGGAUGCCGUUGUGGAAAGUUUUUUCGGUGUGGGAUGAGCUCGCGGCCUAUCAGCUUGUUGGUGGGGUAAUGGCCUACCAAGGCGUCGACGGGUAGCCGGCCUGAGAGGGUGUACGGCCACAUUGGGACUGAGAUACGGCCCAGACUCCUACGGGGGGCAGCAGUGGGGAAUAUUGCACAAUGGGCGCGAGCCUGAUGCAGCGACGCCGCGUGGGGGAUGACGGCCUUCGGGUUGUAAACUCCUUUCGCUAGGGACGAAGCGUAUUUGUGACGGUACCUGGAGAAGAAGCACCGGCUAACUACGUG